rnacentral:rRNA from 1 species
GCUAGUUGGUAAGGUAACGGCUUACCAAGGCGACGAUCAGUAGCCGACCUGAGAGGGCGACCGGCCACAUUGGGACUGAGACACGGCCCAAACUCCUACGGGAGGCAGCAGUGGGGAAUAUUGCACAAUGGGGAAACCUUGAUGCAGCGACGCCGCGUGAGUGAUGAAGUAUUUCGGUAUGUAAAGCUCUAUCAGCAGGGAAGAAACUGACGGUACCUGACUAAGAAGCACCGGCUAAAUAC